rnacentral:lncRNA from 1 species
UUUUUUUUUUGGUCUUUUUUUUUUUUUUUUUGUCUUUUUUGUUGUUGUUGUUGUUAUUUCUUGGGCCGCUUCCGCGGCAUAUGGAGGUUCCCAGGUGCAGUCCUAAAAAGCAAAAGAAAAAAAAAAAUCAGGGAUAUACAUGAUGAAAAUUAUGAUUAUUAGUUAAAUUAUGAUUAUUAGGACAUAAAAAGACUUGACUAAAUGUCUCUAGAAGAAAUGUUACAAACGUGUUAAUUUUGACCAAGUGAAUUUACAAGUCCAAUAUUAUUACAAUAUCCCCAAGUUUUUAGAUGAAGAGAAUUAAACAAAGUAAUUCUUAAGUUUAAGUUAAUACUGAAUUGGAGAACAGUAGUUAAGACAAUAUUGAGAAAGAAUAAACAAGAAGUUUUACUAUGAACAAGGAAAGAACAGACCAUGGGUCAGCAAACUACAGCCAGUAGGUCAAAUCUGGCUGCAGCCAGAUUUUGCAUUCACUGUCUAUGGUUGACUCCCUGAGUCAAUAGUUGCAACAAAGAUUGUGUGGCUCACCAACCUAAUAUAUUUGCUAUCAGGAAUUUUACAGAAAACAUCUGCCAACCUUUGCAACACAUACUUUAAUUAAUUGUGCUGUCAUGUCCAUAGAUUUUUCUCUAAGGGAGCUCAUGAAGGCCAAGAGAAGGCAAAUUUACAAGGUAAUACAAUCCAUGGGUACCACAAGCAAGCAGAAGCUGGAAGGUAGAGAAAUAAAGGUUAGGGAAGCCAGUUAAUAGCAAAAGAAGCAUGAACAAUGGUAAGGAGAUUUAAAAAUACUGAUGCCCGGGCCACUUAAAUCACAAUAUCUCACCUGGUUUAUUUUUAAAGUUCCUCAGGUGAUUCUAAUGUUUAACUCUGAUAGAGAACCACUGAGUUAGAAAGAACAGCAAAUUCAGAGUGGCUGGGUGAUGUCAGUGAUGUAGCACAAGAGUAAUGAACCAAAAAUACCUGCUGUUAAGGUGCCCAGAGCUGCUAGAAUCCAAUUCCCGUACUCAAUACUGUUCCCACAUAUCAAUUCCCAUUAAAGCCCCAUCUUCCACAUUGUUCAACGUGUUUACAUACAAUAAACCCCUAUUAAUGAGGUAGGCUGAUUAACUUCUUUUCUUGAGACCAAAAGAGCCAACUUCAUAUAGAAAUUUCUAUCAGAAAUAUAGUUGCAUGAAAAAAACGCCCAGCAGAAAUGUAAAACACUUGGAAUUGAUAGGGUAUGACUAUAGAAUAAAAAAAUCAUACACAAUCUACCCCAUGUACCAGAGCGAAAUCUUUUUCAGAAGCCCAGUUUAUGUUGUAGCAAAGCCACUAAUUAUACAGCUGCCUUUGUGAUUCAUACCUGCACCCACUUAGGGUUAAGCACUGAGGCAAAUGGUAGUGACUGAUUACAGCAACUACAAAGAAAUAAGCCAAGCGGGGUUCAACAGUUGUUUCUCUUCUGACGAUGACAUGCAAAUUCUGAUAUAAUCACAAGGUAUCGACCCUGGAAAGCAUGACUUUGUCUCUGUUACAGCUAGAUAUGGUGCUGUUACCAUUCCAACAGGCAUGGAAUAACAUGGAUUAGACCAUAGGUUCCCAAGUUUGAGAACCAUUGGGCUAAAUGUGUCAGUUCAGGUUCCUACAAAUACAUAUUCACUCCCCUCUGAAGACCACCAUUCUAUCUAUUGUCACAGCUGUAGCACAGCCCUUAAUGACCAGCUUUUGUUUUACAUUAUCUAUUAUUACAUCCUCUCCACUGAGCACAGUUGAUGGGACAUACAUUGCCAGGAGCCUAUGACAUGUCUCAGCAUGAAAAAGCACUGCACAGAUAAACUAGGCCAAUUAAGAUUCUCAUUCUUUGGAAUUUGAGUAGAAACAAUGAAAACUAGGUCAUUAGCAGUGAAUGCUGAAGCUGAAAGCCUCGUCAAAGUAGGGCUUAGUGGCAAAUCCAGUCAUGAGGAAGAAAAAAUGAAGAUGGAAGAAUAGCUGAUCAAAUAGCUGGUCUCAUUCAAGUCAACAGAAAAGGUCUACAAAUCCCAAGUGAUUAAGAUUCCUAUGAAAUCCCUAUCUUCUUUACUCUGUCUUACUAUAUGAACCUAUAUGAUAAAUAUCCAUUUCUUUAGCUAACCCUGUGUCUUAUUUCUUGAAACCAGAAAUCCUAUGUAAUCAGAAAAUAGUGUAGAGUUGGGUUACAUAAACAGAACUUUGGUAGGACAUGGAAUAUUUAAACCUGUUUAUUACUUGGUGGUGGGACAGUAACAGACACACCCCACCACAACCCAGGCUAGAAUGUUAAGGGUCUACAGGAACUGUGGCAAAGUUACUAUUGCAAGACUACACAUCUCAUGAAGGUAAGUUUUGGUACAAUCACAACAGAGGAAAUUCAGUCACCAAGGAAGAUCAAAGAUAGGUGGAUGCUUCCAAAUUUGGCAGGCAAAUUUCUAAAGUGGCCUCAUGACAUCACUUCAGACUACAGUAUCUGGCUGUGACCUGGUUACUCUCUAACAUUUCUGCUUAAGAGCUGCUGGAAAAGUAUAAACAGAAGCAUCUUUAGAAAUGAAAAAAAUGAGAUGAAAGGUAUAUGUGCUCUGUGGUCAAGAUGUGGAAAUGCAAUACAAACACAUGUGAAUCAAGUGGUGGCUACACUCAAGUCCCAUCUAAGUUCAACUGUCCCACUCAGUUCUCGAGACAGGCAGUCCUAGUCCUAGAGUAAUGAAUUUUAGAAUAUGACCUGUCCUGUCAUCCCAAGCAGAAUGUACCAGAUAUGAGACACAGUACCCAAGUGUUAUGCCACUGUAAGACUCAAAAACUGACUACUCAAGCAAAGGUAAGCGAAGCCACUUAAACCCUUGCAUUGAAAAAUAAAGUUUGUGAAAUGCAGAAAGAGUGAGGCCCAUAGCAGAGGAAACAAUAUUCAAUAACAGUGCUGGGAAACAUGAGAUACAGCCAAAGACACUAGAGUAGUAAGCAAGGCUUAGUAAUGAAUAACUGAAAACUUAUGAGGAAGCAUAAUACAACAAAGCUAGGGAGUAAGCUAAAGCUUGAGUAUAUAAUGAGGAGGAAGGCAUGAAGGCAGAGAAAAAGAGGAAUUAAGCAUAAGGAUCACAGUUAAUAACACUGUAGUAAUACUGAAAAUUCAUUCAGAGUAGAUUUCAGGUACUCUCAAUCACGAAAGAAAAAUACGGUAACUAU